AUCUUUCACGGGGUCUUUUCUAUUUCUUUUUCCAGUUAAUAUAAUGAGCAGAUCUGAAGACGGGAGUAAGAGAAGAAAAGCAUCUGCAAGACAAGAGUCAACAGAAUCUGACAGCAACAGGAAUAGCACAGAGGACUUCAUGAAGCCCCUUCCCCCAAGUUGCCUUUUUAGGAUCAAUGUGCCAUUUAUGGCGAGGUCACAGAAUGGUCACCAUGCUUGCAGCUAGGAAGCAGUUUGCUCAACAGGGCUGGGUUUUGUUCAGGGUCUGCAUUUGGCUGGAGGACCUAAAAACAGCAAAAGUAUUUCACAAAGUUAUAUGACAGGCAACCAGGCUGGGAUUUCCUCCUCCUUGCCUUCUUU